UGCGAAUGCUGACAUGAGUAACGAUAAAGGGGGUGAAAAACCUCCUCGCCGGAAGACCAAGGGUUCCUGUCCAACGUUAAUCGGGGCAGGGUAAGUCGACCCCUAAGGCGAGGCCGAAAGGCGUAGUCGAUGGGAAACGGGUUAAUAUUCCCGUACUUCUUACAAUUGCGAUGGGGGGACGGAGAAGGCUAAGUGGGCCUGGCGACGGUUGUCCAGGUUCAAGUGCGUAGGCUUAAGAGUUAGGUAAAUCCGGCUCUUUCUAAGGCUGAGACACGACGUCGAGCACCCACGGGUGUGAAGUCAUUGAUGCCAUGCUUCCAGGAAAAGCCUCUAAGCUUCAGAUUGUAAGGAAUCGUACCCCAAACCGACACAGGUGGUCGGGUAGAGAAUACCAAGGCGCUUGAGAGAACUCGGGUGAAGGAACUAGGCAAAAUGGUACCGUAACUUCGGGAGAAGGUACGCUCUCGACGGUGAAGUCCCUCGCGGAUGGAGCUAUUGAGAGUCGCAGAUACCAGGUGGCUGCAACU
rnacentral:rRNA from 1 species